CUCGCGAUAGCUCAGUUGGUAGAGCGGAGGACAGUAGAUCCUUAGGUCGGUGGUUCCAAUCCGUCUCGCGAGA
rnacentral:tRNA from 1 species